ensembl:lncRNA
AAAGCUGGAGAUCAUCCUGACAUGACAAGAUCUGAGGUCACUGAAAAUCCCAGAGAUGUGGCAAAAAACACAGCAAUCAAACAGCAAAAUGUUAAGAAACAACCUGAAGAGAAACUGCGUCCUUCCUGUGAAGCUCUGCCCGUGUCAGAUGAGUGUGAACAUAAAGAUGUCCCCUGCUCUGGCCACAGUGUAGCUGAAGUACAAUCCAUGAUGCCAGAGAUGAGAGCCGCUGAGGAUCAUGCUUCUUGGAAAAUGUGGUGCAGGCAAGAGCUUGAGUGGGAACACCAUCCUCAAUAAAACGGUGUUCAGGUCAGAGAUGAAGCUGGGCAGCGUCACUGUUCACUGUGAAAAAGAGUCCCGCGUGGUUGGAGAUAUACCCGUCGAUGUGAUUGACACACCUG